CCCUUAGAUGUCCUGGGCCGCACGCGCGCUACACUGAGUGUCUGAGAUACGAGUCUGCCUGGUCCGGCAAGGUCUAGGUAAUCGCUAAAAGACACAUCAUGCUUGGGAUAGAUUAUUGCAAAUAUUAAUCUUGAACGAGGAAUUCCUAGUAAACGCAAGUCAACAGCUUGCGUUGAUUACGUCCCUGCCCUUUGUACACACCGCCCGUCGCUACUACUGAUUGGAUGUUUAAGCGAGGUUCUCGAACUGCUAGCGACUUAGCUUCGGUGAGGUCGCAGUGUGGGAAGUGAACCUAGCUUUGGUGUCUAGAGGAAGUAAAAGUCGUAACA
rnacentral:rRNA from 1 species